rnacentral:lncRNA from 1 species
GAAGAAUAGGUCUGAAACAGUAUGUGCCUCACCUGCCCAGGACCUGUCAAUUCAUUUGACCUAGGCAAUAUGUUUGCUAAGAUGUUUCCACUAAUAUAAGUGAAACCUCAAAGCUCAUAAUGUUAAACAGACUUUAAGUGGUCAGGAGUCGAUGUGUGUAUAUAUACCACUGGCUAAGGUACUAGGACAUAACUGACGUGUUAGCUGCUUAACGUGACUGAAUGGGCUUGAGUAGGAAAGGAUCAAGGUAGCGCAGAAGAACCAGGGAGGUGCAAGGUGUUAUGAAGAUGCGUAAAAAUAUUUGGAUCAUUGUAGAGAAUGGAUGUUUGCUUUCAACUUUUUACAUUUGAUUGAAUUCCUGGGAAUUUUUACAUUAUGUCCAUUUUGUCUAGCAGUUUGGUGGUCCGAGUGGAGAAGAUAAAAUGACAGAGAGAUUUGCAAACAAAAACAUGGAGUUGGAUGUUCUUUAUAACCCUUCGCAGUACAACUUCAUCAUCUGGAAGUACUGAUACUGUGCCACAUGGAAUGGAGCAUAGAACAUGCUAUUUUCAACAUAGCCUUCUACCAGGGGAAAGGCUAACAAGCAAGAGGCUGCACAGAAAUAGUUUAAUGAACUUAUUAUGCACAACCAUACUGGUUGAAUCAGAAAGUCUGCGAGAGUCUCUAGACUAUAGCUGAGGAGCUUCUCUGUGACUGCUGACUUGAACACAGGCCCAGCCAGUGGUGGGGUUGGGUGGCCUUUGGUUUGUAAACCCAGACAAGUCAUUUCACUUUCCAAAGUCUUGUCCACAUAAGGGACAUUUUCUGGAUAUUUUCCCACUUUGCUUCUUUUGGCAACCUUAAAGUUUCUCAGGACUGAGAUGCACACAUGGCUCUCACAGUCUUUCAUAUUGCUACAAUGGCAAAUUAACAUUGACAGGUGGUGAAAGUACAAAGUCUCGUGGAAAGCAGGAAAACCUUCCAUUAUGCAAAAUUUUGGGACUAUGAGGGAUGUUACAUUAUGCAAUUUGUUACAUAAUUUGUUACAUUAUGUAAUUUGAUUGUGCACCAAUUCUCCCACCAGUGAUUUCAGUCAUACAGAUUUUCAGAUUUCACGUUUCUAGGAUAUUUGCAAACCUGAAGAAAAUUUGGCCUUUUAUUUUGGAGGAUAUCGCCACUGGUGAUGGUGGAAGUCAUCACUGUGUAAUGAGAUUAGAAGAUUUGCAGCAUCCUUUCUUCUUUCUGAGGCAAAGAAGAAAAGGAAUGGUUAAACCAACAUUAAAACGCUUGCUAAAUAUGUUUGCAUGUGCGUGAGUGCAUGCACAUUUUUCCCAUUACAAACUCAGGGCUGACUAUGUUUAUUUUCCUGAAGACCAUCUGUAUGAAAGGAGAACAAGUACUGUAAGACAUCUCUAAAUAAAGUUUUAGCAAUUUGAGAAGGCUGAUUUUAA